UUUACCAAGCGGCGCAGUGGAAUCUCAAUAUCCAUCGAUAAUCAAUUGUAGUUAAAUUCCAGCUACUUUGUUCAUAUUUUUAUUUUUGAAACAGAUAGAUUUAAAAUAUAAAAAAUGUAUUUUCUGAACUGUAAUAAAGGAUGGUAAAGGUAAAACUACAAGAUCAAUAACUAAUGUACAAAUGAACUUUCAAAACAUCAACUUGAUGUUUUCAGUGAUCUAUAAAAAAUCAUUUUUUAUGCUUACUAUUUAAAUAUUUUUUUAUAUUCGUUCACAUAAGUAUCAACAAAGCUUGCAUAUUUUAUUAUUCACAUAAA